rnacentral:rRNA from 1 species
GAAAAGAAACCAACAGGGAUUGCCCCAGUAACGGCGAGUGAAGCGGCAACAGCUCAAAUUUGAAAUCUGGCCUCGGCCCGAGUUGUAAUUUGCAGAGGAAGCUUUAGGCGCGGCACCUCCUGAGUCCCCUGGAACGGGGCGCCACAGAGGGUGAGAGCCCCGUAUAGUUGGAUGCCCAGCCUGUGUAAAGCUCCUUCGACGAGUCGAGUAGUUUGGGAAUGCUGCUCAAAAUGGGAGGUAAAUUUCUUCUAAAGCUAAAUACCGGCCAGAGACCGAUAGCGCACAAGUAGAGUGAUCGAAAGAUGAAAAGCACUUUGAAAAGAGGGUUAAAUAGCACGUGAAAUUGUUGAAAGGGAAGCGCUUGUGACCAGACUUGCGCCGGGCUGAUCAUCCGGUGUUCUCACCGGUGCACUCGGCCCGGCGCGGGCCAGCAUCGGCUCCCGCGGGGGGACAAAGGCCCCGGGAAUGUAGCUCCCCAGGGAGUGUUAUAGCCCGGGGCGCAAUGCCCCCGCGGGGACCGAGGUACGCGCUCCGCAAGGAUGCUGGCGUAAUGGUCACCAGCGACC